AGAACGACGCUGGCGGCAGGCUUAACACAUGCAAGUCGAGCGCGUAGCAAUACGAGCGGCAGACGGGUGAGUAACGCGUGGGAAUCUACCCAACCCUACGGAAUAACUCAGGGAAACUUGUGCUAAUACCGUAUACGCCCUUCGGGGGGAAAGAUUUAUCGGAGAUGGAUGAGCCCGCGUUGGAUUAGCUAGUUGGUGGGGUAAAGGCUCACCAAGGCGACGAUCUGUAGCUGGUCUGAGAGGACGACCAGCCACACUGGGACUGAGACACGGCCCAGACUCCUACGGGAGGCAGCAGUGGGGAAUUUUGGACAAUGGGCGCAAGCCUGAUCCAGCAAUGCCGCGUGCAGGAUGAAGGCCUUCGGGUUGUAAACUGCUUUUGUACGGAACGAAACGGUGAGCUCUAAUACAGUUUGCUAAUGACGGUACCGUAAGAAUAAGCACCGGCUAACUACGUG
rnacentral:rRNA from 1 species